rnacentral:ncRNA from 1 species
AAUCGAUAAGGGCAUACCCGUGCGAAAGCCGGGGACGCAAAGCCACAGGCCUAAAGCGGCGGCAUGUACGGUGCCGCAGCCAGGGUGGCUGGGUUGCCGAA